rnacentral:rRNA from 1 species
UACAGAGGUCUCAAGCGUUGUUCGGAUUCAUUGGGCGUAAAGGGUGCGUAGGCGGCGCGGUAAGUCGGAUGUGAAAUCUCGGAGCUUAACUCCGAAACUGCAUUCGAUACUGCCGUGCUUGAGGACUGGAGAGGAGACUGGAAUUUACGGUGUAGCGGUGAAAUGCGUAGAUAUCGUAAGGAAGACCAGUGGCGAAGGCGGGUCUCUGGACAGUUACUGACGCUGAGACGCGAAAGCGUGGGGGAGCGAACAGG